CAAGGGAGGAAAAAUAACUUUUGAAGUGGUAACGAGAGUGGCCCAUUUCAGACAGUUGACAGGAAGGUGUGAACAACAGUAAGGGGAAAUUAGUACUGGGGAAAGUAGGUUUAGGUUUUAUAAUGACCCAACCACUCCCAGUCUUUAUUCAGGUCUAAUCUGAUGGUGUUUGCCUUAAUGGAUC